CUACACACGUCAGUACAAUGGCCGGUACAGAGGGUUGCCAAGCCGCGAGGUGGAGCCAAUCCCAGAAAAGCCGAUCGUAGUCCGGAUUGUUCUCUGCAACUCGAGAGCAUGAAGUCGGAAUCGCUAGUAAUCGCGGAUCAGCAUGUCGCGGUGAAUACGUUCCCGGGUCUU
rnacentral:rRNA from 1 species